rnacentral:rRNA from 1 species
UACGUAGGCAGCAAGCGUUGUUCGGAGUUACUGGGCGUAAAGGGUGCGUAGGCGGGUAGGUAAGUCAGUGGUGAAAUCUUCGAGCUUAACUCGGAAACUGCCUUUGAUACUAUCUAUCUUGAAUAUUGUGGAGGUAAGCGGAAUAUGUCAUGUAGCGGUGAAAUGCUUAGAUAUGACAUAGAACACCUAUUGCGAAGGCAGCUUACUACGCAUAUAUUGACGCUGAGGCACGAAAGCGUGGGGAUCAAACAGG